UACAGAGGGUGCAAGCGUUAAUCGGACUUACUGGGCGUAAAGGGUGCGUAGGUGGUUAUGUAAGUCGUCUGUAAAAGACUCGGGCUUAACCCGAGGCGGUCAGACGAGACUGGAUAGCUAGAGUAUGGUAGAGGGGAGUGGAAUUUCCGGUGUAGCGGUGAAAUGCGUAGAUAUCGGAAGGAACAUCAGUGGCGAAGGCGGCUUCCUGGACUAAUACUGACACUGAGGCACGAAAGCGUGGGGAGCAAACAGG
rnacentral:rRNA from 1 species